rnacentral:pre_miRNA from 1 species
GGAAUACUCCCUCCGUCCGAAAAUACUUGUCGUAGAAAUAGAUACAAAUGGUUGUAUCUAGAACUAAAAUACAUCUAGAUACAUCCAUUCAUCAGACAAGUAUUUCCGGACGGAGGGAGUAUAAA